rnacentral:rRNA from 1 species
UACAGAGGGGGCGAGCGUUGUUCGGAAUUACUGGGCGUAAAGGGCGCGUAGGCGGCCCGCUAAGUCGAACGUGAAAUCCCCAGGCUCAACCUGGGAACUGCGUCCGAUACUGCGUGGCUAGAGGUAGGUAGGGGAGAUCGGAAUUCCUGGUGUAGCGGUGAAAUGCGCAGAUAUCAGGAGGAACACCGGUGGCGAAGGCGGAUCUCUGGGCCUUACCUGACGCUCAGGCACGAAAGCUAGGGGAGCGAACAGG